rnacentral:pre_miRNA from 1 species
UGUGGGGAGGGGGGUCCCUCAGCCUGGAUUGCAAGAGGGCACAGGCCAGGCCAAGGGACCCCACCGGUGCAUG